GACGAACGCUGGCGGCGUGCUUAACACAUGCAAGUCGAACGGAAAGGCCCUGCUUUUGUGGGGUGCUCGAGUGGCGAACGGGUGAGUAACACGUGAGUAACCUGCCCUUGACUUUGGGAUAACUUCAGGAAACUGGGGCUAAUACCGGAUAGGAGCUCCUGCUGCAUGGUGGGGGUUGGAAAGUUUCGGCGGUCGGGGCUGGACUCGCGGCUUAUCAGCUUGUUGGUGGGGUAGUGGCUUACCAAGGCUUUGACGGGUAGCCGGCCUGAGAGGGUGACCGGCCACAUUGGGACUGAGAUACGGCCCAGACUCCUACGGGAGGCAGCAGUGGGGAAUAUUGCACAAUGGGCCGAAGCCUGAUGCAGCAACGCCGCGUGCGGGAUGACGGCCUUCGGGUUGUAAACCGCUUUCGCCUGUGACGAAGCGUGAGUGACGGUAAUGGGUAAAGAAGCACCGGCUAACUACGUG
rnacentral:rRNA from 1 species